rnacentral:tRNA from 1 species
GGUCCCAUAGCGUAAAGGUUAACGCAAAACACUCAUAAUGUUGAGAUUCUAGGUUCAAGUCCUAGUGGGACCA